rnacentral:sRNA from 1 species
CGUUAGCUAUUGCAGCGGCAUCCUUUUUUAGGGGCUGGUGCGCCUAAAAAAGAUAUAGCGGAAAGAGCGACCCGAU